CCUACGGGUGGCAGCAGUGAGGAAUAUUGGUCAAUGGCCGGAAGGCUGAACCAGCCAUGCCGCGUGAAGGUCAGUGCCCCAUGGGCGUUAAACCUCUUUUGUGCGGGAGCAAUAAUGGUCACGUGUGGCCAGACGAGAGUACCGUACGAAUAAGCAUCGGCGAACUCCGUGCCAGCAGCCGCGGUAAUACGGGGGAUGCAAGCGUUAUUCGGAUUUUUGGGUUUUAAGGGGGGGUAGGCCGUGGGGUUAAGCAGCGGUGAAAUGCCCCCGCUCAACGGGGUGAAGUGCCAUUGAUACUGCCUUGCUGGAGUGCGGAUGCCGUAGGAGGAAUGUGUGGUGUAGCGGUGAAAUGCAUAGAUAUCACACAGAACACCGAUUGCGAAGGCAUCUCACGAAUCCGCGAUUGACGCUGAUGCACGAAAGCGUGGGUAUCAAACAGGAUUAGAUACCCCAGUAGUC
rnacentral:rRNA from 1 species